AGAGUUUGAUCCUGGCUCAGAUUGAACGCUGGCGGCAGGCUUAACACAUGCAAGUCGAGCGGAGAUGAGGUGCUUGCACCUUAUCUUAGCGGCGGACGGGUGAGUAAUGCUUAGGAAUCUGCCUAUUAGUGGGGGACAACAUUCCGAAAGGAAUGCUAAUACCGCAUACGUCCUACGGGAGAAAGCAGGGGAUCUUCGGACCUUGCGCUAAUAGAUGAGCCUAAGCCGGAUUAGCUAGUUGGUGGGGUAAAGGCCUACCAAGGCGACGAUCUGUAGCGGGUCUGAGAGGAUGAUCCGCCACACUGGGACUGAGACACGGCCCAGACUCCUACGAGAGGCAGCAGUGGGGAAUAUUGGACAAUGGGGGGAACCCUGAUCCAGCCAUGCCGCGUGUGUGAAGAAGGCCUUAUGGUUGUAAAGCACUUUAAGCGAGGAGGAGGCUACUGAGACUAAUACUCUUGGAUAGUGGACGUUACUCGCAGAAU
rnacentral:rRNA from 1 species